CAGUGUACCAUGGAAACACUAUUUAGUUAGUUUCCUGAUAUAGUCGAAUUAUCAUCAAACAUGUUAAGCUUACUGCUGGUUUUCGCUGCGAUUAGUGCAGUUCACCCACAGAACUGUAACCAGUUCGCAUCCUAUCAACACGAUCCCGACAUAAUACAGCAUCUCCACGAUACUUACUACGAGUUAGCCUCUUCUUCAAGCACCAUUUUCGACUGUGAGAGAAUAACAUGGUCAGGAAGUGGUAGUUCACUAGUCGGCAUUGUUCAAUCGCCGAACUGCUGCAGAAAGCUGUACGAUCCAAUCUUUUCUGAUGACGAAAUUGAAUUUAAAGUCGCUCCGUUGAAUAUGAAUGCUGGAUGUUUACUAAGUACCGACAAUGUGAAAAUGAAAUUUAUAAGCACAACAGGACUUGGUGCGGAACUUUGUUACAUAAAUACCGUAUGUCGAGCGGACCGAGAAGGGUUUUUUCUAUUUUGCCGUGAGUCAACCAUGGAGACGUCGCUACUACAAGCUCUUAUUAACCUCCUUUUUACUCUUAUUGGAAUUUUAUUCGGCCGACCGGUAUUCACUGAUGUGAGUCAAGCAAAUUGUACCAUCCCAGCGAAUAAUUGCAACCUUGGAUAAAUAAAUGGACUUAUUUCCAUGUGCUCUAAUCGACCGUAAU